rnacentral:rRNA from 1 species
UACGAAGGGGGCUAGCGUUGCUCGGAAUUACUGGGCGUAAAGCGCACGUAGGCGGCUUCUUAAGUCGGUGGUGAAAUCCUGGAGCUCAACUCCAGAACUGCCUUCGAUACUGGGAAGCUCGAGUCCGGGAGAGGUGAGUGGAACUGCGAGUGUAGAGGUGAAAUUCGUAGAUAUUCGGAAGAACACCAGUGGCGAAGGCGGCUCACUGGCCCGGUACUGACGCUGAGGUGCGAAAGCGUGGGGAGCAAACAGG